AGGGCUAUAGCUCAGUUUGGUAGAGCACCUCGACCGAGAAGGUCUACGGUUCGAGUCCGUAUAGCCCUA
rnacentral:tRNA from 1 species